rnacentral:misc_RNA from 1 species
GUCAAAAAGUUUUUAGGUUAAAAUAUUUAAAUCUUUUUCACAUCUCAUAUCUUUAAAUGUUUUUUAUUACUGCAAAUUAACAAAUAAACUGAUUUUUCCCACAUUAUAUCUUUAAAGAUGAAAACUAACGUUAAAAUUUCUAAUAAUCUAAUUGAGAAACUUCAAAAGCUUCAUGACCCUUGUUUUGGAAAAUUAUAUGGAAUUGUUAUUAAAGAUACAAUAUAUGUCUUAGGUCUCCAAGUGGAUAAAGAUGAUGCGAAUAUAUUGUAUUCAUUUCCUAAUGAAGUGGAUUUCUGUGGGCUUUUUCAAUCAUAUUUGCAAAAUCCCGAUACUGACACAAUAAUUCAAAGAUGUAAUGAUAUUGACGUUACCGAUACCCCAGUUUUCCUUGGAAUUAAAAUUAAUGGUAACAAUAACCAUAUAGUUAGUCAUGUUAUAGAGAGCAAUAAAGUAACAGAUGCUAGUUACGUACCAGUAAAGUUAAAUGAAAUUUACUCAAACUUUGUUCAUGUAAGAAUAAGAGGAAACCUGUUUUUGAAUUCUGAAGCAAGUGAAACAAGAUUGCAGGAGAGUUUUAAUGAAUUGAGUAAGGAUAUCUUAUCAGGUACUUUAGCGUUUAAAUUGCCCAAAGGAAACGUUAUAUUGACUGGAAAAGAUACUGGAAAUAAUACAGUUGGCCUGGUAGGAGAUCCAACCCUUGGUGAUAUUUUGGAAUUAAACCAGAGCAAUGAAAUAACCCAGAAAAAAAGAAAAGUGGAAGAUGAUGAUUAUUCUUUGGACAUUAUAAAUUUAAAUUUUAUUAAAAAAGUUUCAAACGAUAAAUAUGUUGUUGAUCAAAAACAGCAUGCCCCUGUUGUCGUAUUGGAUAAAAAACUUGCUGAUGUAAUAAAAGUCCCAAUCAAAAUUGAUUUUUUGUCUUUAAUUCAAAGGAACGUGCAUUUUUCAACAUUAUAUAAUAUUAUGCUAGAAAGUAUUCUGAAGAAUUUGAAUUUAUUUGAAAAUUGUUUGUAUGUCGUUUUACGAGAAAAUGAAAUAAAAGGAAAAAUUGAUUCGCCAGAAACAUUGCAUUUCUUUGUCAAAGAAUGUGGUCACUUUGUCACACAAAUUGUUUUUAACCGUUCAACAGAAAUAUUAAAGAAGGAAAGAGAAGCACUUCAUGACAUACUCUUAAUAAGUAAACAGUACCCAGUAUUUCGCAAAGGAAAUAAAUACCAGUUUUAUGAUGAAAAUAGAAAAAAUAAACUAUUACUAAAUCCACAUAAAGGAUUAAAGUCAACAAAUAAUAGCGGAAAAGUAUGUUUAGUUAAAGGAAAUUAUGAAUAUUAUCACUAUUGUCAGGAUAAAAUUGAUGACAAUGGAUGGGGUUGUGCUUACAGAUCAUUACAAACUUUAGCGUCAUGGUUUAAAUUGCAAGGAUAUGCAAACAAAGAAGUCCCCACAUUUAAGGAUAUUCAAACAUGUCUGGUGGACAUCGGCGAUAAACCCAGUAGUUUUAUAGACUCACGACAGUGGAUUGGUUCAACAGAAGUUAGCUUUGUAUUGAAUACUUUAUUAGGUAAUUUGUGCGAUAUGAUCAAACGGUUUUAAGCUCAAGCGUGCUUUGUAUGAUGACGGAUAAACAAAAACGGAGUCAUUUAUCGUUUGUGUGACUUCAAAAAUAUUACAUGUGAGUUCUGGUGAAGAAAUGGCAUUUAAAGGACCUGAACUAGUAAAUCAUUUUGAAGUACAUGGAUCG